ACCCAAGUGGCUCAAGGGGCUCACACCGCCCUUUCACGGCGGUAACACGGGUUCGAAUCCCGUACGGGUC
rnacentral:tRNA from 1 species